GACGAACGCUGGCGGCGUGCUUAACACAUGCAAGUCGAACGGAAAGGCCCUGCUUUUGUGGGGUGCUCGAGUGGCGAACGGGUGAGUAACACGUGAGUAACCUGCCCUUGACUUUGGGAUAACUUCAGGAAACUGGGGCUAAUACCGGAUAGGAGCUCCUGCUGCAUGGUGGGGGUUGGAAAGUUUCGGCGGUUGGGGAUGGACUCGCGGCUUAUCAGCUUGUUGGUGGGGUAGUGGCUUACCAAGGCUUUGACGGGUAGCCGGCCUGAGAGGGUGACCGGCCACAUUGGGACUGAGAUACGGCCCAGACUCCUACGGGAGGCAGCAGUGGGGAAUAUUGCACAAUGGGCGGAAGCCUGAUGCAGCAACGCCGCGUGCGGGAUGACGGCCUUCGGGUUGUAAACCGCUUUCGCCUGUGACGAAGCGUGAGUGACGGUAAUGGGUAAAGAAGCACCGGCUAACUACGUGCCAGCAGCCGCGGUGAUACGUAGGGUGCGAGCGUUGUCCGGAUUUAUUGGGCGUAAAGGGCUCGUAGGUGGUUGAUCGCGUCGGAAGUGUAAUCUUGGGGCUUAACCCUGAGCGUGCUUUCGAUACGGGUUGACUUGAGGAAGGUAGGGGAGAAUGGAAUUCCUGGUGGAGCGGUGGAAUGCGCAGAUAUCAGGAGGAACACCAGUGGCGAAGGCGGUUCUUUGGGCCUUUCCUGACGCUGAGGAGCGAAAGCGUGGGGAGCGAACAGGCUUAGAUACCCUGGUAGUCCACGCUGUAAACGGUGGGUACUAGGUGUGGGGUCCAUUCCACGGGUUCCGUGCCGUAGCUAACGCUUUAAGUACCCCGCCUGGGGAGUACGGCCGCAAGGCUAAAACUCAAAGGAAUUGACGGGGCCCCGCACAAGCGGCGGAGCAUGCGGAUUAAUUCGAUGCAACGCGUAGAACCUUACCUGGGUUUGUCAUGGAUCGGGAGUGCUCAGAGAUGGGUGUGCCUCUUUUGGGGUCGGUUCACAGGUGGUGCAUGCCUGUCGUCAGCUCGUGUCGUGAGAUGUUGGGUUAAGUCCCGCAACGAGCGCAACCCUUGUUCACUGUUGCCAGCACGUUAUGGUGGGGACUCAGUGGAGACCGCCGGGGUCAACUCGGAGGAAGGUGGGGAUGACGUCAAGUCAUCAUGCCCCUUAUGUCCAGGGCUUCACGCAUGCUACAAUGGCUGGUACAGAGAGUGGCGAGCCUGUGAGGGUGAGCGAAUCUCGGAAAGCCGGUCUCAGUUCGGAUUAGGGUCUGCAACUCGACCUCAUGAAGUCGGAGUCGCUAGUAAUCGCAGAUCAGCAACGCUGCGGUGAAUACGUUCCCGGGGCU
rnacentral:rRNA from 1 species